AAUCUUGGACCAUGGGGGAAACCCCGAUCCAGCCAUCCCGCGUGUAUGAUGAAGGCCUUCGGGUUGUACAGUACUUUUGGCAGAGAAGAAAAGGUAUCUCCUAAUACGAGGUACUGCUGACGGUGCCAGCAGAAUACGCACCGGUGAACUACGUGCCAGCAGCCGCGGUAAUACGUAGGGUGCAAGCGUUAAUCGGAAUUACUGGGCGUAAAGCGUGUGUAGGCGGUUCGGAAAGAAAGAUGUGAAAUCCCAGGGCUCAACCUUGGGACUGCAUUUUUAACUGCCGAGCUAGAGUAUGUCAGAGGGGGGUAGAAUUCCACGUGUAGCAGUGAAAUGCGUAGAUAUGUGGAGGAAUACCGAUGGCGAAGGCAGCCCCCUGGGAUAAUACUGACGCUCAGACACGAAAGCGUGGGGAGCAAACAG
rnacentral:rRNA from 1 species